GUCCUAGCCAGCCCUGGGUGUCAGGUCCACUGCCAAACAGGAGACAUGCAACUUGUCUCUAAGGGACUCUCAUGGCCGUGGUCCCCAAGGAUGCAGAGCUGACCCUUUUCUUCCUCUCGUUUCCCUUCCAAAAAUACCCUCUCCACUGUUAGCACCUGAUGAAGUACCCUGGCUUGGUUAUGGAAUAAAGCAUUGGCCCCUGGCUCCAUUUCUUUCUGGUCUCUUGCCACCUCCUGUCUUGAACUUUGUAUCAAACUGUGCAGAAUGAAAGCCCACUGACCAUGUUUCUGGAGAGUUUGCCUGUUCAUCUUGUCACUUUGGUCUGGAAUGGCUGUCCCUCUCUGAACCUCCUCCUCCUUAUGACAUCGUGUUCUUGCUUGUUAAUGUGCCCACCACAUCCGUCUCCUUGUCUUUUCUUUUCCACUGGAUUGUGUGUGUUUCAGGCAUGGGGCUGGGGGCUGAUGAUUCACUGGUCACGCCCAACUUUUUCUUAUUUCAGUUACCCACAGUGGGCAUCCCAGGUGGGUGCAGUGGCAUACACGUGUAAUCCCAGUGGCUGAGGAGGCUGAGGCAGGAGGAUCUCGAGUUCAAACCCAACCUCACCAACUUAGCGAGGUGCUAAGCAACUCAGUGAGACCCUGU
rnacentral:lncRNA from 1 species